rnacentral:rRNA from 1 species
AAACUGUAGAGUUUGAUUCUGGCUCAGAAUGAACGCUGGCGGCGUGCUUAACACAUGCAAGUCGAACGAGAAAGGUGGUGCUUGCACCGCCGAGUAGAGUGGCGCACGGGUGAGUAACGAGUAGAUAAUCUACCUUUGAAUUAGGGAUAACUAUGCGAAAGUGUAGCUAAUACCUGAUGAUGUCGGGUGGCCUUUGGGUUAUUUGAUGAAAGAGUG